AUACUUACCUGGCGUAGAGGUUACCGUGAUCAAGAAGGCGGUUCCUCCAGGGUGAGGCUCUUCCAUUGCACUGCGGUUGAGCUGACCUCUGCGAAUAUCCCUAAUGUGGAUAUCUCGGACGUACAAUUUUUGGUAGUCGGGACUGCGUUCGCGCUAUCCCGG
rnacentral:snRNA from 1 species